CCUACGGGUGGCAGCAGUGAGGAAUAUUGGUCAAUGGGCGCAAGCCUGAACCAGCCAUCCCGCGUGCAGGAAGACGGCCCUAUGGGUUGUAAACUGCUUUUCCAGGGGACGAAUAGUUUCUACGUGUAGAGACCUGACGGUACCUUGGGAAUAAGCAUCGGCUAGCUCCGUGCCAGCAGCCGCGGUAAUACGGAGGAUGCAAGCGUUAUCCGGAUUCAUUGGGUUGUAGGGGGGCUAAUAAGUCUUAAGAGAAAUCCUACAGCUUAACUGUAGAACGGCCAUUGAUACUGUUAGUCUUGAGUUUGGUUAAGGUAGGCGGAAUGUGUAAUGUAGCGGUGAAAUGCUUAGAUAUUACACAGAACACCAAUUGCGAAGGCAGCUUACUGGACCGACACUGACGCUGAGGCACGAAAGCGUGGGGAUCGAACAGGAUUAGAUACCCUGGUAGUC
rnacentral:rRNA from 1 species